rnacentral:sRNA from 2 species
GUCGUCAGUGGGCGGUUUGUUGCCCGGCUUGUCGUCAGUGGGCGGUUUGUUGCCCGGCUUGUCAUCGGUUGGUGGUUUGUUGCCAGGCUUGUCGCUGGGAUCCUCACCAGUCGGUGGUUUGGUUUCUGGGGGCGGGGUGCCCGGUUGUGUGGAACCCGGGCCGUCCGAAAUGGGAACAUUUUCUGGCAGUCCAUUCGCGCGCCGGGUGAAGGUCUCACCCUCAAGUAUUGAUGGAGUGCGCAUCUUGCACUUGUUCUGCACAUCAUCUUUCUGAAGAGUGAACUGUUUACAAUCCUGCACAGUUCCAGAAUUGCUGGUGCAUUCGUCCACUGCCUUCUGCAGGAAUUUUUCAUCCCAGCCAUUCAUGAAAUCGCCGUGAUAGCCAUAACCUGUUGGGUCACCGUUGGAGAAGACAAAUCUUCCAGGCUUCCCUUUAUAAGCGCUGGUAUCCCAAAUCGUCUCAAAAAAUAUAGAUACCAGACGGAUGGGGUAACCGGGAGGACAGAAACCAUUGUCAAUGCGGCUUGGAUAGGCCAUAUGGUCUUUAUGAUUUGGAGAAUCAGUCCGCACUCCAUCCCAACAAGAAGGGAAGAAGAGUUCGGCACGAACUCCGUGCUUGCAAUUGGUGUCAAUAUAAUUUUUAUCAGGCAACGUGUGAGGAAUGGGGUAAGGUUUGGGUUGUUUGUCAUAGUUCAAGCAAGUAAACCCAAUGUUCUUCUGAGCGUCCGUAUAGUUACGUUGGAAGGUGUUGCCAGCAACCAUUCUCAGACCGGGAGGAAACGCAUGGACUUUCUCUUUAGGCUCGUUCCGUUGAAGGUAGUACCUACUGGGUCUCAGCGUGGACCAAAGUGACAAGAAUUUUAAGCAGGGAACCUACACCAGCAUACCGCCAACCUGGUUAAGCAGCUCUGUGGAUUUGUCUGGAUGCUCAAAAUACAAUGCGGGCGCCCAGUAUAGAGACAUAUCUUCCAGAACUUCACAAGACGUGCAUUCAGAUUCCCUGAGCUGCUCAUAUGUAUUGGUCAAGCCAAGAUCUAGGAUGUAUUAGAAACUUGAUGCACACUCGAAAGGGGAUGGAGGAAAGGGGCACGUACUUCCAGCUCCAUGAAGCGCAUGAACGUGACUGGAGCGUUUGCCAGGGUUGACAAUAGGAUCGAUAGGACCCAGUCCCACACGACCGCGACAUGGCAAACGCCAAAAUGCCAAUGCCGGCGAGAUCGUCGCCGCUAGGACGACAAGUAAACGCAUUGUUGAUAUAAGAGGCCGGCUCUCAUGCAAAUUUGGUGGGCAGGUAUGAGAACCUCUGCCGGGCGAAUGUGUUGGAAAUCUGAGCAGAAUCCACGUCGGUGACCACGGGGAGCAAUGCGAUUACGCGACAGAUAUCUAUAUAUAAUCUAUACACGCAGCCCUUCCAAAUUGCUGUUCUCGCAAAUGAAAAAGAAUGUAUGCCAGAAUCUAAUUCCAGCAGGAGAUAAGAAAGGAGUGUGAGGGCAAAAUUACCCAAAGAUGGGACUUCUGGGAAGAAUAUUACGGUUCCAAAGGAGCGGAGUGGCCAACGAGUAUUCGAGAGGGGCCAGCGAUGCUCUUUAAAUCCGGCGAUGAUGGAGAAUUCAAGAAUGGCCAAGACUCAUAAUCUAACGACUGUGCUAAUACUCCGUGUGGCUUUCUUAAGCCUGUUAACUGUCAAAUAUGUCAUUUUCGAAGCAGUAAGCGCUGAGCUUGGCCAACAAAAGAUGAUGUGCCUCGCAUGUUUCAAGCCAGUCAAACCUAUCACCAGUCAACUGCUGUUGGGUAUUGGGGGUCCAUUUUCUACCGGAGAGUAAUUUCCCGGCAAGUAGCGUUUUCGAAGCGAAUCGCAGCGAGGCAAGGGUUGACAGAAUGUUUUCAAUACAGUAUCUGUACUUGUUCGAAGUGCUAACCGGAACCCUUGUCGACGGUGACCAGUUACAUCUGAGUGAUAAGAUUAAACAGGGUCACAACUCCUCAAUGUGAGGGUGCUUGGACAGUUCAGGCUCAAGGCUUUCUCUCGAGUCUCGAUGCCGAAUGUCUGCCCAAAAUCUCACCGUAUUUCAACCCGGCUCUGUGCUUUAUCAUUGAUAUUUUCACAUACGGCGUACAAGCAUCAAAACUUGGUAUAUUCGAAGCGUAUGGGAGCGAUGGAGUCAUAAACUUACUUCCUAAGUGCAUAUGCUCUUUUUUCCUGCUGAAAUGUGUCAAUUUCUGCCUGGUUCACAGGCUCUUAUCCUUUUGAGCUUUUGCUGAAUCAUGGGGCUAGAACGUGAUCAGCCAGGGGCCAAUUUUCAUGCUCGAAGCGCCAGGGAGAGAAAGUCGUUGGCGCGUUGCACCUAAUUUAGCAUCGCCGACGGCUGUUUUGCUCAGAACAACAAGCCCACAUUGAACAAGUUCGAAUGUCAGCUUCAUUUCUGUUUUAAACCGCUGCUAGGGGCGGGUUUCCCCGUUUCUCACUGCAACAAACUUGUUGGUUUCGUUGGUUUCAACAACAAUGUGCUAGCAACUAUCAUCCUCGUUCUGGUUUAUUUCUGCAACUCGCCACAUGCGUUCUCUCUGGAGACAGGGAACAAGAUACAAUGUAAGAUGGAGAAAUGUAUCUCAGCAUGCGAGGGGAGCUAAAUUGUAUACAAUGUAUAAAGGGCCAAGAUGUCAUGCAGGAUAUUCGGGUUAAACCCGAACUUUAGUUUUUGAAAUCCCAACAUUUUCCAUCCGAGAGGAAGGGUCACGAGCUAAGACAGAAACAUCGAGUAUUUAGCCCAAAACCAACGCGUGAUGAGCACGAUAACCACCACACAGCUCUUGAUCUUUGAAAAAACUCAGUAGGAGGUAUAUAUCAUAAGCCUCAUGAACCUCUCUUUGAGUGAACGGUCCCAUACCAUGCUAGACCAACUCAUGACCAUAGUUCAAAAGCACGUUUUAGGACCAGGAUAGCUGGUGGAUUGGUGUCAAAGAGACGAGGGAGGAUGAACUGUGGUACCCUGUUUGGAGAACUAUCGUGAUCGAUGACACUUAGCCACUCGCAGGAGAUUCAUCGCAAGAUCAAGAGAAUUGAAAAUGUUGGAAUUAAGAUGAAUCUCCUAAGUGAGUGAAGAAGAUGCUCUGUAGAGUACAGCUUGUGUUCCUGCAUCCGACACAUUAUAUUCUAUAAAUAUAAGCAACCUCUGCCUUCUACACCCCCUUCUCAAAGACUUUGAUGAUGUAUCUUAAUUGAGAUAUUACUUUAUGAAGAUGAAUGAUAUCGAGGAGCUGCUAUGUGGAGAUUUCGUGCUAAUGUUAGUGAGAUAUACAGAUUACUCUCCCAUCCAUUCACCAAUCUACCUGCCUACCUUUCUUGCCAACUACGUGCAAUAUCCGGUGAUGAUAUCUAUAGACGGUAUGGAUAUCUAUCGAUGAUAUGAAGCUUCAGCAUAGAUCACACUAUAUAUCUAGCAAUAUCCAUCAGUAAUAUGAAUUAAUACCCCUCAAUUGUUUAUAUUCUUCUUUAUGCAUGUUGUUCUCUACUGUCACAUCUUAGUAGAGGCUCUACGCAGUAUAUUUAUGCUUAUGUAACUGGCC